rnacentral:rRNA from 1 species
AUUGAACGCUGGCGGCAGGCCUAACACAUGCAAGUCGAGCGGAGCGGCGGACGGGUGAGUAAUGCCUAGGAAUCUGCCUGGUAGUGGGGGAUAACGUCCGGAAACGGGCGCUAAUACCGCAUACUAUCAGAUGAGGCUAGGUCGGAUUAGCUAGUUGGUGGGGUAAAGGCCUACCAAGGCGACGAUCCGUCACUGGUCUGAGCGGAUGAUCAGUCACACUGGAACUGAGACACGGUCCAGACUCCUACGGUCGGCAGCAGUGAGGAAUAUUGGACAAUUGGCGAAAGCCUGAUCCAGCCAGGCCGCGAGUGUGAAGAGGGUCUACGGAUUGUAAGGCACUUUAAGUUGGGAGGCGUUACCAGCAGAAUAAGCACCGGCUAACUUCGUGCCAGCCGCCGCGGUAAUUC